rnacentral:rRNA from 1 species
UACGGAGGAUGCGAGCGUUAUCCGGAUUUAUUGGGUUUAAAGGGUGCGCAGGCGGCACGGCAAGCCGGCGGUCAAAUCGCGGGGCUCAACCCCGCCCAGCCGUCGGAACUGCCGGGCUAGAGUGGGCGAGAAGUGCGCGGAAUGCGUGGUGUAGCGGUGAAAUGCAUAGAUAUCACGCAGAACUCCGAUUGCGAAGGCAGCGCACCGGCGCCCUACUGACGCUCAGGCACGAAAGCGUGGGUAUCGAAUAGG